UACGGAGGAUCCAAGCGUUAUCCGGAUUCAUUGGGCGUAAAGGGUGCGUAGGCGGCGCGGUAAGUCGGGUGUGAAAUCUUGGAGCUUAACUCCGAAACUGCAUUCGAUACUGCCGUGCUUGAGGACUGGAGAGGAGACUGGAAUUUACGGUGUAGCGGUGAAAUGCGUAGAUAUCGUAAGGAAGACCAGUGGCGAAGGCGGUCUUCUGGAGCACUCUUGACGCUGAGGCGCGAAAGCUGGGGGAGCGAACGGG
rnacentral:rRNA from 1 species